rfam:Bacillus coahuilensis p1.1.43 ABFP000024, whole genome shotgun sequence.
ACGAUGUUCCGCUGUAUAGAAUAAAUAUGCAUGAGCGUCUG